rnacentral:tRNA from 1 species
GCUCCUGUAGCUCAAUGGAUAGAGCAGGACACUCCUAAGGUCAAGAUGCGGGUUCGAUUCCCUCCAGGAGCACUA